rnacentral:rRNA from 1 species
UACGAAGGGGGCUAGCGUUGCUCGGAAUUACUGGGCGUAAAGGGCGCGUAGGCGGGAUGUCAAGUCGGUCGUGAAAUCCCUCGGCUCAACCGAGGAACGUCGAUCGAUACUGCUGUUCUUGAGGAUUGCAGAGGAGACUGGAAUUCCCGGUGUAGCGGUGAAAUGUGUAGAGAUCGGGAGGAACACCGGUGGCGAAGGCGGGUCUCUGGGCAAUUCCUGACGCUGAGGCGCGAAAGCGUGGGAAGCAAACGGG